AGGGAAGCUGCAGGAAGGUUCAGCUGACAGGAGUGAGAGGUGACCUGCCCCACUGCAGCGUUUACUGUACAUCACAAUCAUGGUCCAAAUGCAAGACGCAUCAAGAGGAAACCUGACCUACGACCUCAUCAUAGUCUGACGUUGCCGUUCGAGACGGUAUGAAGCCUCGUCCAUGGAAGAAACUGAGCCGAAUACCAGGGGGUGGAAUCAUGUGAGACGUCUGACAUGGGAAGGAUCAGGCCUCUGUAACCUGAACGACCGAGAGCAACAGAGGUACCGGUCCAGGACGGAUCGUCGUAAAGUCGCUGUGUUGUUGGGGUUCCUCCGCCAGAAGGGAACAUAGUGUUCCCGGCUCCACAGCUGCGCCUCGGUGCUGACAAGACAAAAGACUUGGGACUGAUCUGAGUCGUAGAGACGGGGACAGAAGCUUUCACCUAUAAGCAGACACUGACAUUAACACACAUGGUUGAUUUUCUUUGUGCCUUAGUGAAAGGUUAAUACAGAGGCCUUAUGUGAAACGGAAAAUAAUAAUGUGGGAAUAGUGAUCAGCACGUUGGUCUGCAGAAUCAAUGGUGGAGGAAGUAUUCAUAUCCUUUAAGUAAAAGUAAUAAUAUGGUAUGUGUGAUAUUAUUAUUAUUGAUAUAUUAAGCCUUAGUCUAGACACUUUCUUGCUCUAAUGGGUGGGAACCUUUUACAUGAGUCCAGGGGCCGGCUGCCGUUCAGACACAAGGUAACACAUGGAUAUCCAAAUUGAUCUAAUUGUUUCCAUCACGUGGAGUUAAACAAUUAAUUUUCUUAUGAUAUGACAUCACUCCUAACCAAAGGAGUUACGGAUAUAAUCGUCUCUCAGAAAUGACUUUUCAAAGAAGCCUGUUCUCUUCGCGGAGGAUUCUUGCGACCAUGCUGCUGUUUGGAGAACAUGGAACACACAGGAAUGUUAACAGCAUCAGCGAGCGUGCUGGUGCUCAUUACGUCUGCAGCACAAGGCCACACAUUGUGAGUCUGCGUCCGUGCACGGCCAUGUGGGCUCCACCGUCUUUCACACGAGUCGGUUUUUAGUGCCUAGCAACAGCUCGGCUCCCCCUGCUCAGGGCAACAUACAUCACAUUACAUAACAGCAAACUGGUUUUGAUAUAAUUAAGCAACAGUUACCUUGGAAACAAGUCGAACACCAACUCGAAGGCCCUUCAAGCAAGUUGGUGCAACUUUCUGAGAAAGGCUACAUUCAUAAAGGGUUUAUAAACUGUGAUCUAAGACAGUAUUAAUGAUUAAUAACACAAUUACUAAUAUUUUAUAGCAUUUUAAAUAUUUUAAAGAUCCAUUGUAAGGCAGUGUGACACUUUGCUUAACUAGAGUAAACAGCUAAUUAAAAUUUACCAUGGCAGACUUGAUGGAUUGUAUGGCCUUUUAUAAUGAGUCAUUUACAUUCAUGUUAACUUUUCCUAAUGGCACAUUGGAAAUUGAAAAACUAAAGAGCCUUUAUUAAUGUCAUAUGAACAUUUAUAUAUGCAAACGUAUAAUUACAUAGGGUGAAAUCAUUGCUACUCAUUAAUGGUGUACCAAAAUGUGUAAGGGCACAUUGAUGCAAGGGACUCUUUAAUUAAACAACACAAAGGGAACUUGUUGAUUUUAGAACGUAAUCUGACUGUUUGCGUCAAAACUUGCCUGGACAGUAAAGCAAACAAAACUGCAAUGCAUUCAGGUGUUUACUCAGGGAGGACUGUCACCAUAGAAAGGUGCAGAAUACUGGUGACCAGGUGAUAAGAGCAAACAGGGUGUAGGUGCUUGUACCGUAAACGCAGAAGCCUCUUCUUUUUUUUUAAUCAUGAUAUUGACCCUUAGACGAUCACCCUCCCGCUGUAUCAGGAUGACUUGACGUGUGCCCCAUAAAGUUAUAAUCUCUGCCCCGUCUGCUCGUCUGGAGCUUUAUUCCUGACAGGCAGGAUUUUUUUACAGCUGUUGAGCAACAGAAAGUGCUGCUGAAGUGAAGCAGGGCAAUACCAGGGGUGGGAUUGCAUGCAGACGCUGCCAUUGUCUGCCAACCUGCUAUCAUGCAGACACACGCUGACAGGCUGGGCAGGGCAAAGACGUGCCAACCACAGAGAUUCACGAGACCUUUCAACACCAAACGUCGUCCAAGUCCCGGGAUCUGCCGGUCGCAUUACACUGAACCCAAAAUCCCUCGGAGGACCCUGGUUCUCCCCAUGCAUGAGAACAUAUCAUGAUAUAUAUCUAAACGACACGUAGCAUUAGAUCACACAUUUCUAUGCAUAAGCAGACAACAUAUUCUAUGUAGUUUAGCUGUGAUGCCUCGAUCACAGUUUUCCAAAUGUCUGCUGUGCGUGAUGAAACAGUGCAUGUUGCUCACAGUCUUACUGGAGCCAUUUCAAGUCUGCAAUAUACAGACUGAGCGGUUGCAAUCGUUUGCCCUCGGGUUUCUCAACACACUAAUGGGACUGGGGAGACGUGUGCAGUGUCAGUCGGAGCUCUAUUACAGAAUAUCACUGUCAUGGUUCGUGCCCUUUGAGAUGUGCUUGAAGCGAGCGCGGGCAAUGGAAAAUACAAAUUUAAAGCAUAAAUUUGAAGAGAUAUCACUCAUUUACUGCAAUAAAUAUCUCUCUAAAUAACUUGGUGUUAUAUUCUACCCUUUGCACCACCACAUACGUUGGCAUUGUUUGUAUCC